GACGGAGGAGGCAAGCGUUAUCCGGGAUUAUUGGGCGUAAAGGGUACGUAGGCGGCUGGUCAAGUCUGGGGUUAAAGGCCACAGCUCAACUGUGGGAAGGCCCUGGAAACUGACCGGCUAGAGUGAGGUAGGGGUUGCGGGAAUUCCCGGUGUAGCGGUGAAAUGCGUAGAGAUCGGGAAGAACACCUGAGGCGGAAGCGCGCAACUGGGCCUCAACUGACGCUGAGGUACGAAAGCUUGGGGAGCGAAUGGG
rnacentral:rRNA from 1 species